CAUGAAGCUGGAUUCGCUAGUAAUCGCGCAUCAGCCACGGCGCGGUGAAUACGUUCCCGGGCCUUGUACACACCGCCCGUCAAGCCAUGGAAGCCGGGGUGCCUGAAGUGCGCUGCCGCAAGGAGCGCCCUAGGGUAAAACCGGUGACUGGGGCUAAGUCGUAACAAGGUAAC
rnacentral:rRNA from 1 species